UUAUGAUGUGAAAGUGGUUUGUGAAAAUAUACAUCCGGAGUCUUUGCAUCCAGGCGUAAACCGGAAGGACUGGGAUGUUUCCGGUUUUAAUAAUCCUGUUGGGGUUCUGCUGCUCUAAAAUUAUUCUUAAAUAAUCAUAUUUGAAACGCAGUUUGCUUUAGAAAGAACGACUUUGUUUGCAGAGCCUAUUAAAAACGUGGCUCUCUGAAAAGGCGACCAGAGGCUUCCACACAUAAAGAUACUUUGUUAAAAUCACCAGCAGUAAUUACUGCAUGCAUCUUUGUUUUUCCAUGUACGUCUUUAUCCUCUUAUGUUUACACAAAAACACAGCUGCUAUUGCCAGGCAACAUUUAGCUGAUGUAAGUUGGUCUUUUCUAAAAAAAAAAUUUGCAUUUUGAUCAUUUUUCUUGACGUUUCAUUAGAUCAGUUCAGGUCUUGCCAUACUCUGUUCAACUCCCUGCAUUUAUAAUUGUCAGAAAGUCUUGCCAUAGUGUACACAUUCCUCUGUGUACACUUUCGUAGAUAAUUUUUGCUUUCUGCUCUUUGUGCUUUUGGAUUUUGUUCUGUUGGACCGGCGUUGUUGCUCUUUGCUUGAGUUUCUGUUCAGCUCUGAGUGUUAAUUGCUUGUCUUCCCUCAGUCUACCUGCUUGUCUUCUCCCACAGCUGCACCCUGUUAGUAAUCAACCACCUGCCUCUUGUCAGCAAUCACUCACCUCACAAUCUGGAUUUUCACCCUUUGCUUCUGGAUUCGUCUGUCACUCUGUUUGCGUCCUUGGUCUUUGUCCUGCAUUAUUUCUGAUGCGACGUCGGCGCCGUAAAUCAAGAAGACGAGCUCGAAUUGGGAAAAGUGAGCAAAUGAAGCCUUACUGGACUCUUCAGAAGAGGAUGCAGACAGGAGUUUGUAUCUCUCCCCACCACAUGACCUUCACUGAGGAGUGAUCCAGAAGUCUUGCAGCAGCAUGAUGUCAUUUCUGAAUAAAACAUGCUGGAGAGGAGCAGCG